rnacentral:rRNA from 1 species
AUGGCGUCUCCGAACGCAGUUCUUUCUGGGCUCCUGAACUCAAUUGAGCACCUCAAUUGGACCUUGGUGUCAUGGACCUUGAUUAUGCACUUAGGGAAAAAGCUCCUUUGUCCUCUGAUGAUGAAAACCUUGCUGAGAAAACUUAAGGUUUAUGAGGCUAAUAAGGAGAAGUGGGAGCGCUCCAAUCGCUUGUCUCUCAUGAUCAUGAAAAGCACAAUUACUCUUCGGAUUAGGGGAGCAAUCCCUGAUUCAGAAUGUGCUAAGACUUAUCUAGCGUCGGUGGAGGAGCAAUUUAAAGGCUCAACAAAAGUCUACGCUAGUACAUUGAUCAUGAAAAUGCUCACCACGAAGUAUGAUGGUAAAAGCGGUGUGAGAGAACAUAUCAUGACUAUGAAUGAUAUGGCCGCAAAAUUAAAGGGCAUGGACAUGGACAUUUAUGAGGGCUUUCUGGUUCACUUCAUUAUGACUUCUAUCCUAUGGAGUAUGGUCCCUUCAAGAUUAAUUAUAAUACUCAGAAGGAGAAGUGGACCAUGA